UCUCUCUCUUUUGAAUUUCAGAACACAAACACAUGCGACUACACGUUAUUUCCUUUUGCAUCAGAUUCAUCAAAACACUAACCAAUCCUCAUUUUUCCUCUCAGAUUGAACCUCAAUGUUAACUCCUCAUACCCUUUCUGCAUUCUCAUCUUUGCUUCACACACUCAGUCACCAUUUUGCCUAUCAUGCUUCAAACAGCCACCUUCAUGAAACCCUACAUAACCAAUCCCUAUAUCCUACGUUCUCUUACUUAAUCACUUUAGUUUGUUGAAAAAACAAAAGGAAAAAAGAAAAUCUCCCUUCACACUUCUAUAUACAAAUUUGCAGGCUACUGUUACAGUUUUGUUAAUUUCGUAGCUGACAUGAGACCUAAAGAUGCGAUGGACCUCCAUGGCUGAAUGAACCAACUGCGCUGCAAACCACGUUCAGCAGUGGAACCAGUGAGUGUCAUCGUCCACUGCUUGACUCCUUGCACCUCUGAAUUCGAAGGCCACUGUUAGCCGCUAUCAUUGCUCCGCACCUCGUUGUUGCCAUCGCAUUACUUUCGUUGCUCAAUGUCGUCGUCGCUCUUCAUUCCUCUUCAUUGUUGUGCAUUAUAGUGAGAUUAUUAAUAUUUCUCCAAAACGUGGUAUCCAUCCUUCUUCAUUAUUGUUCGACUUUCACACUUCCAGGUUCCUAUUAUUAUCUUGAAAAUUUAUUUUUAA